AGUGGGAGCUGCCAGUUUCACAUGUUUUAACUCUGUCAGAGCACUUUGAAAAAGUGGUCUGUGGUAUCUGGCUCUCGAGAUUCGGAGAACGAUGCCUCUUCGAUUUUUGAGAAAGCAAUCAUGAUGGGGGUCUGACUCUCGAGAUUCGGAGAGCAGUGUCUCUUCGAUUUUUGAGGAAGUAAUCAUGUUGGGAGUCUGGCUCUCAAGAUUCGGAGGGCGGUGCCUCUUCGAUUUUGGAGCAAGCAAUCUUGUUGGGAGUGUUGUCUCGAAUGUGAGUAAAGGUUGGACAUGUUUGCUAGUCUACCUUGCCACGAAGCACAAAGGUUGACACACAGGGACUUUCCAAUUAUCCAGCAAUGGUACUGUUCCUUUACCCUCUCUUCGAUUUUGAGAAAGUAGUCAUGUUGGGAGUCUGGCUCUCGAGAUUCGGAG
rnacentral:lncRNA from 1 species